UGGUGGGCCGUGAAGGAAUCGAACCUUCAACCUACUGAUUAAGAGUCAGGUGCUCUGCCUGGUUGAGCUAACGGCCC
rnacentral:tRNA from 1 species